ensembl:snoRNA LOC120102672 small nucleolar RNA SNORA17
GUUUCCCCUAGUAACACUGCUGGUAUGGUGGCUGUGUCACACUCACAUCGUCAGUAGAUGGCAGAGAAGAGAGAGGCUAUGUCUGUGCUCAGUGUUCUGACCUAUGAACAUCUGAAUGAUUAGGAGCCUAACAGU